rnacentral:misc_RNA from 1 species
AGCAGCCGCGGUAAUUCCAGCUCCAAUAGCGUAUAUUAAAGUUGUUGCAGUUAAAAAGCUCGUAGUUGAAUUUCGGGAUCAAUAUGUCGGUCGUGCCUUCGGUACGUACUGGUAUCAUUGGUCUCUCCUUUCUGACGAACCAUGAUGUCAUUAAUUUGGUGUUAUGGGGAGUUAGGAUUGUUACUUUGAAAAAUUAGAGUGUUUAAAGCAGGCUUUAGCUUGAAUACAUUAGCAUGGAAUAAUGAAAUAGGACGUUCGAACCUAUUUUGUUGGUUUCUAGGAUCAACGUAAUGAUUAAUAGGGAUAGUUGGGGGCAUUAGUAUUCAAUUGUCAGAGGUGAAAUUCUUGGAUUUAUUGAAGACUAAUUACUGCGAAAGCAUUUGCCAAGGAUGUUUUCAUUAAUCAAGAACGAAAGUUAGGGGAUCGAAGACGAUCAGAUACCGUCGUAGUCUUAACCAUAAACUAUGCCGACUAGGGAUCGGAUGAUGUUAAUUUUUAAUGACUCAUUCGGCGCCUUAAC